AACGUACACGGGGUCUGCUAGCCCGCACACACUUCAAUAUCCAAACGUGGGUUCUUCUCAAACACACGUGGGGGAAAAUAGAGAGAUCUUUUGGAGUAAAUUAUACGGACACCUGAAAUAAAGUUAUAACACAAUAAUUUAUUUAUAUAUCAUUUCACAAACAAUAUAAUCGGAUAUGGUUAAUCUGUAUAAUGGCCCUGGUUCCUCGUCUACCUCUGGUCAGGAAUGUUCGUCUGUUCGUCUGUGCCAAUUAGAAGUUCCACAUCUAGAUGUAGUUCCAGAAAUUCUAAGAGUAAAGAAAGGCUUGACAAAAACAGUGUCACGUCUUGCCUUGUUAACAUAGGAGGCUUGACAAAAACGGUGUCACGUCUUGCCUAUACGGUUUUAUCAGGAAAUCUGGUUGAUACUGGCUCUCGGAAUGAAUGAAAGGCUAUAUAAUUGAAAGGAAUCUAUCUAUGUUAACUUUAAAUAUGGUUCUCUAGAAAGACAGAUUAUAUUGUAUAUUAAAUUAGGAAAUAUCUGUACUCGACCGGUAAAAUAGUCCUAGGUUUGUUAGAUAGGUAGUGGAUCUUUAUUAUAGAUAUAAAGAUAUAAGGUUCUAUCUAGUCUUGGAUUUGGUAAUUUUAUAUAGGACUUUAUUAUAUUUUCGUAGGUUUAUGGAAUACUGACAAACUGUCAAACCCUGCCAGAGAUUCUAGGCAAUCUUGUACUAUGGUUACUGUACCUUCUUGGUAGCAGGUGACACAUCCAUAGGAUGUUUUGGCAUUUAGGAAUUAGGAUAAUAGUGUAGUGGCUAGCACAAAUUCUAACCGGGUACUGACGACAGUGCCAGGGUCUGCCAGCUAUUUAUAGUCUCAGAGGGGUGGCUACAUUGGUAUGGGGUGCCAAGCUUGGCAGAGUCGUCAUCUAGUGGAUGACGUCAGCGCGCGUGCGGCAGAAUUUUAGCCCUAGCCGGAUAUGGCAUCUACGUUUGGCGACAGGUGGCUAAUUAGUAUUUCUUCGUCUCUAAUAUGGCUCGUUUAAUAUCUAAAGGCAUUAUAAGUUCAGAAAUAUGUUCAGGAGGGAUUGAUCUCUUGAUCCACAUCGGGUAUCGGUAUGAGGACGGUCUCAUAACAUAAUCGAGGUACGAAUAUUAUAGUGUACUAAUUUCGGAUAAACUGUAUCCGGACGUAAAAUGAUGAUGGCUUAGUCGUUACAUUGCACCCCUUCCACAUGGAUUCAGCCCCUGAAUAGGAGUUUUAGUAAGUAUAUCUACAGUAAGUAUAUCUGGUUAUCAUUUUAUGUGGAGUGUAAUGGGUUUAAUUCGUAUUUACACUUCUAUAUAUCUGGUUGUUGCUAAUUGAAGAACAAACACCUGUCAUAGGAGGUAAUUAAUUUGGUAUCAAGACAUAAGUACACCUGGACUGGAUUUCCAUUAAACCUGUGCAAUUUAUGGUAUUGAGGAAGCCAUUCUGUAACUGGUACGGCUAAAAUGAAUUAUUAUUUGACAUAUUUUCACAUGUGAUUACUGGAUAUGUCAAAGUUGGGCAAUAUAUUUAUCAAAGGCAUUAAGUAUUAUAAUCAACAAUACUUGUAAAAUUGUCAUACUCAGAAAUGGCAUUUUUAAUAAUGGAUCAUGUAUACAUUAUUCAUUCAUACGGUACUUCUGGGUAACUUGAAGUUUUCAUUUAUAAACAGCUAACAUUCAUACAACUUUUCAGAUGUACAAUUUUCCUCAAUUAUUUCAGCGCUGAGAUUUCAUUCAUACAAGAAAUUUAAUACAUGUGUAUUUACAGGGAAUAGAGAGCUUGACAGUAUUUGUCGAUUGGCCACCUGGAGAACGGUAUAAACCAACGGCUCAUCUAAACAGAAGUAUACUCCAUUUCGUCCUCAACCUAAACACUCGCAGCGGUGUACUGCACAAUCAUGGGUUCAUCUAGGGUGAGGUUCUCCAGGUUAUGUGAAAGGGACCUCCAGGUUAGUCAUAGUUCGGGUAAAAGGACCACUCUGAUGUGCAAGCAGAGGAACGGUGGUGUCCACCUGAGGCACACUAUUUCAGUGCAACAGGGAGCGGCAUCUACCAGCUUUGGCAGAAUGAAAAACUCCGCUUCUUGUUUAAUUUCAUUCAGGACCUGCAAGUCAUUUGGUAGGCAUCCUGCAGGCAUUUGUCUGUCAUACCGUAAAUAGUUCAGGAUGAACUUAAAAUGGGAUGGAUCACGGUCAAUGAUAAUCUUGGAGUCUCCGUCAGUAGCUAGUCCGCAAGGAGGUAGUGGUACUGUGGCAGUUUCAGUCGGUAGUGCAGGCAUAGAGAGUGUUGGCUUCUUCUGAUUUAUUGUCGGCUUAUACGGAUGGUAAUGUGUUUUGGCAGGAUGUUUGUUAUGACUGGCACCAAGUACAGUUUCUCUUAUUGGAGAUAGAGGUUUCUUAGAGGUGUGAGAGGACAUACAUGGAAUGGUUGUUCCUGGAUGUUACUGAUAGAGUACUAUUUUGAUGGCAGUCACAGGGAUAUAUGGUUUACCCAUUACAAGAUCUAUGGGGAGGUUGAUUUGUCUGCCAAACAUCAUGGCACAAGGAGAUACACCAGUACUCUCAUGGACGCUUGACCUGUACGCUAACAUAAGUAAAGGUUGUAAUGGCGGUCUAGAGUCUGGUGGGAGAAUUUCAUACUUGGAUCUCUUCAGUAUGCUAACAUUAGAACCAGUAUCAAGUAAUGCGGUUGGCCGGUCCAGAAUGCAGUCAGCAAAAGGCAUUCAAAUAAGGUUGUAAUGGUAGAUCCAAUCAACAAUUUUACUUGUUUGAUUGAAUGGUCUGCAACUGGAAGAACUAUGGAAUAUCAGUAACUGAAGAUGUUGCUAAAACAGCAUAAUGAAAUGAAUUGUAAAAUAAUCAAUAAAAUAUUUUGUGUCACUGUC
rnacentral:misc_RNA from 1 species